UUGCUUCAGUAGCACAUAUACUAAAAUUGGAAUGAUGAAGAGAUAAGUGCAUAGUCCCUAUGCAAGGAUAAUGUGCAAAUUCAGGAAGCAUUCAAUUUUUAA
ensembl:snRNA U6 U6 spliceosomal RNA